rnacentral:rRNA from 1 species
UGGGGAAUAUUGGACAAUGGGCGAAAGCCUGAUCCAGCCAUGCCGCGUGUGUGAAGAAGGUCUUCGGAUUGUAAAGCACUUUAAGUUGGGAGGAAGGGCAGUAAGCGAAUACCUUGCUGUUUUGACGUUACCGACAGAAUAAGCACCGGCUAACUCUGUGCCAGCAGCCGCGGUAAUACAUAGGGUGCAAGCGUUAAUCGGAAUUACUGGGCGUAAAGCGCGCGUAGGUGGUUCGUUAAGUUGAAUGUGAAAGCCCCGGGCUCAACCUGGGAACUGCAUCCAAAACUGGCGAGCUAGAGUAGGGCAGAGGGUGGUGGAAUUGCCUGUGUAGCGGUGAAAUGCGUAGAUAUAGGAAGGAACACCAGUGGCGAAGGCGACCACCUGGGCUCAUACUGACACUGAGGUGCGAAAGCGUGGGGAGCAAACAGG